GGUGGGCCCGCGGCCUAUCAGCUAGUCGGUGGGGUCACGGCCUACCGAGGCGAUGACGGGUAGCUGGUCUGAGAGGACGACCAGCCACACGGGGACUGAGACACGGCCCCGACUCCUACGGGAGGCAGCAGUGAGGAAUCUUCCGCAAUGGGCGAAAGCCUGACGGAGCGACGCCGCGUGUGGGAUGAAGUCUUUCGGGAUGUAAACCACUGUCGGAGGGGAAGACAUCGACGGUACCCUCCAAGAAAGCCCCGGCUAACUACGUGCCAGCAGCCGCGGUAAUACGUAGGGGGGCAAGCGUUAUCCAGAUUUACUGGGCGUAAAGCGCGUGUAGGCGGCUGGUUAGGUGUGAUGUGAAAUCUUCCGGCUCAACCGGAAAACUGCAUUGCAAACCGGCCUGGCUAGAGUGCAGGAGAGGGAAGCGGAAUUCCAGGUGUAGCGGUGAAAUGCGUAGAUAUCUGGAGG
rnacentral:rRNA from 1 species